rnacentral:rRNA from 1 species
AUUGAACGCUGGCGGCAGGCCUAACACAUGCAAGUCGAGCGGCAGCGGGAAAGUAGCUUGCUACUUUUGCCGGCGAGCGGCGGACGGGUGAGUAAUGCCUGGGAAAUUGCCCAGUCGAGGGGGAUAACAGUUGGAAACGACUGCUAAUACCGCAUACGCCCUACGGGGGAAAGCAGGGGACCUUCGGGCCUUGCGCGAUUGGAUAUGCCCAGGUGGGAUUAGCUAGUUGGUGAGGUAAUGGCUCACCAAGGCGACGAUCCCUAGCUGGUCUGAGAGGAUGAUCAGCCACACUGGAACUGAGACACGGUCCAGACUCCUACGGGAGGCAGCAGUGGGGAAUAUUGCACAAUGGGGGAAACCCUGAUGCAGCCAUGCCGCGUGUGUGAAGAAGGCCUUCGGGUUGUAAAGCACUUUCAGCGAGGAGGAAAGGUUGAUGUCUAAUACGUAUCAACUGUGACGUUACUCGCAGAAGAAGCACCGGCUAACUCCGUGCCAGCAGCCGCGGUAA